GCCGGAGUGGUGAAAUCGGUAUACGCACUGGACUCAAAAUCCAGCGAGCCUCGGCUCAUGUCGGUUCGAGUCCGACCUCCGGCA
rnacentral:tRNA from 1 species